CGGAGUGUGGCGCAGUUUGGUAGCGCACCUGGUUUGGGACCAGGGGGCCGCUGGUUCGAAUCCAGUCGCUCCGACCA
rnacentral:tRNA from 3 species